rnacentral:rRNA from 1 species
CCUACGGGUGGCAGCAGUGGGGAAUAUUGCACAAUGGGCGAAAGCCUGAUGCAGCAACGCCGCGUGAGCGAUGAAGGCCUUCGGGUCGUAAAGCUCUGUCCUCAAGGAAGAUAAUGACGGUACUUGAGCACGAAUCCCCGGCUAACUACGUGCCAGCAGCCGCGGUACUACGUAGGGGGCUAGCGUUAUCCGGAAUUACUGGGCGUAAAGGGGGCGUAGGUGGUUUCUUAAGUCAGAGGUGAAAGGCUACGGCUCAACCGUAGUAAGCCUUUGAAACUGGGGAACUUGAGUGCAGGAGAGGAGAGUGGAAUGCCUAGUGUAGCGGUGAAAUGCGUAGAUAUUAGGAGGAACACCAGUUGCGAAGGCGGCUCGCUGGACUGUAACUGACACUGAGGCACGAAAGCGUGGGGAGCAAACAGGAUUAGAUACCCGUGUAGUC